GUGAGGAAUAUUGGUCAAUGGGCGGGAGCCUGAACCAGCCAAGUCGCGUGAAGGAAGAAGGAUCUAUGGUUCGUAAACUUCUUUUGCAGGGGAAUAAAGUGCAGGACGUGUCCUGUUUUGUAUGUACCCUGAGAAUAAGGAUCGGCUAACUCCGUGCCAGCAGCCGCGGUAAUACGGAGGAUCCGAGCGUUAUCCGGAUUUAUUGGGUUUAAAGGGUGCGUAGGUGGUUUGAUAAGUCAGCGGUGAAAGUUUGCAGCUUAACUGUAAAAAUGCCGUUGAAACUGUCGGACUUGAGUGUAAAUGAGGUAGGCGGAAUGCGUGGUGUAGCGGUGAAAUGCAUAGAUAUCACGCAGAACUCCGAUUGCGAAGGCAGCUUACUAAGCUACAACUGACACUGAAGCACGAAAGCGUGGGGAGCAAACAGGAUUAGAUACCCUAGUAGUCC
rnacentral:rRNA from 1 species